ensembl:lncRNA
UUCUGUGCCCCUCCCCACUCCCCCCGCUGGCCCGUGGUCACACUGCUCCCAAAGGCCGUGGCCUGGGCACGAUUGCUCCUUCAUACAUACGUCAUCACGUCGUAGUACGAGAAAUACGUCAUCACUAAGCGUCCUCGCCGCCAUAACAACAAUGGAGUACAACAACGUGAAUGCUGUCGUCUGCCUAAAUUUCAAGUCAGUACUAAAGGCAGUACCCAAAACAUGUUGAGAAGAGAGGAUGAAUGUCGAAGGGUGAACAUGAAAGACAGACAUCUACUGGAAAUCAAUCUGAAGUUUUCCACUUCCAUCUUUUUGUUUUUAGAAAUUACGACAAGGUUUUUAUUGGAUGCUGGUGGAUCCCUCGGUAAGAGAUGGGGUCUGCUGUGGUUUGGGAAGAGCCAGAAGAACAAGACACUGCUAUAGAGUACGUCUAGCUGUAUGUCCUUUCAGGACACGCUCCUCUGACAAAGAGCAGAUAUGUCUUCAGAAUCACCGUUGACAGCAGGUCCUCAGACACAUGGCAACAAGCAAUACAGGAACAGGAUGUCAAGCCAUUAGAGAUGUCAUAGUCUCUCGGUUUUGAACUUUGUCACUCUGUAUGUUCGAUAAAUAGAAUUCCACUUGGGAAAAAAUUAAAAUGGAUAUUAGGCAUGUACCAAAACAUUAUCCCCUUUGUUGGAAUUUAAUUACUAUUACAAAUGUAUAAAUAUACUUUUUGCCAAAAAAAUAAAAUAAAAAUAAC